rnacentral:rRNA from 1 species
UGCGAUACUUGGUGUGAAUUGCAGAAUCCCGUGAACCAUCGAGUUUUUGAACGCAAGUUGCGCCCGAGGCCACCCGGUCGAGGGCACGUCUGCCUGGGCGUCACACAAACGCCACUCCCAUCCCUCGCAGGAGUGCGGAUGAGAGCGAAAGCUGGCCCC